rfam:Trichobilharzia regenti genome assembly, scaffold: TRE_scaffold0021439
AUCUGGCUGACGAGUCCUGAAUAGAACGAAAUGUGCCUCCUGGAU